AGAGUUUGAUCAUGGCUCAGAUUGAACGCUGGCGGCAGGCCUAACACAUGCAAGUCGAACGGUAACAGGAAACAGCUUGCUGUUUCGCUGACGAGUGGCGGACGGGUGAGUAAUGUCUGGGAAACUGCCUGAUGGAGGGGGAUAACUACUGGAAACGGUAGCUAAUACCGCAUAACGUCGCAAGACCAAAGAGGGGGACCUUCGGGCCUCUUGCCAUCAGAUGUGCCCAGAUGGGAUUAGCUAGUAGGUGGGGUAACGGCUCACCUAGGCGACGAUCCCUAGCUGGUCUGAGAGGAUGACCAGCCACACUGGAACUGAGACACGGUCCAGACUCCUACGGGAGGCAGCAGUGGGGAGUAUUGCACAAUGGGCGCAAGCCUGAUGCAGCCAUGCCGCGUGUAUGAAGAAGGCCUUCGGGUUGUAAAGUACUUUCAGCGGGGAGGAAGGGAGUAAAGUUAAUACCUUUGCUCAUUGACGUUACCCGCAGAAGAAGCACCGGCUAACUCCGUGCCAGCAGCCGCGGUAAUACGGAGGGUGCAAGCGUUAAUCGGAAUUACUGGGCGUAAAGCGCACGCAGGCGGUUUGUUAAGUCAGAUGUGAAAUCCCCGGGCUCAACCUGGGAACUGCAUCUGAUACUGGCAAGCUUGAGUCUCGUAGAGGGGGGUAGAAUUCCAGGUGUAGCGGUGAAAUGCGUAGAGAUCUGGAGGAAUACCGGUGGCGAAGGCGGCCCCCUGGACGAAGACUGACGCUCAGGUGCGAAAGCGUGGGGAGCAAACAGGAUUAGAUACCCUGGUAGUCCACGCCGUAAACGAUGUCGACUUGGAGGUUGUGCCCUUGAGGCGUGGCUUCCGGAGCUAACGCGUUAAGUCGACCGCCUGGGGAGUACGGCCGCAAGGUUAAAACUCAAAUGAAUUGACGGGGGCCCGCACAAGCGGUGGAGCAUGUGGUUUAAUUCGAUGCAACGCGAAGAACCUUACCUGGUCUUGACAUCCACGGAAGUUUUCAGAGAUGAGAAUGUGCCUUCGGGAACCGUGAGACAGGUGCUGCAUGGCUGUCGUCAGCUCGUGUUGUGAAAUGUUGGGUUAAGUCCCGCAACGAGCGCAACCCUUAUCCUUUGUUGCCAGCGGUCCGGCCGGGAACUCAAAGGAGACUGCCAGUGAUAAACUGGAGGAAGGUGGGGAUGACGUCAAGUCAUCAUGGCCCUUACGACCAGGGCUACACACGUGCUACAAUGGCGCAUACAAAGAGAAGCGACCUCGCGAGAGCAAGCGGACCUCAUAAAGUGCGUCGUAGUCCGGAUUGGAGUCUGCAACUCGACUCCAUGAAGUCGGAAUCGCUAGUAAUCGUGGAUCAGAAUGCCACGGUGAAUACGUUCCCGGGCCUUGUACACACCGCCCGUCACACCAUGGGAGUGGGUUGCAAAAGAAGUAGGUAGCUUAACCUUCGGGAGGGCGCUUACCACUUUGUGAUUCAUGACUGGGGUGAAGUCGAAACAAGGUAACCGUAGGGGAACCUGCGGUUG
rnacentral:rRNA from 1 species